rnacentral:rRNA from 1 species
UACGUAGGUGACCAGCGUUGUCCGGAUUUACUGGGCGUAAAGAGCGCGCAGGCGGUCGUUCAAGUCGAGUGUGAAAGCCCCCGGCUCAACUGGGGAGGGUCACUCGAUACUGAGCGACUUGAAGGCAGGAGAGGGAAGCGGAAUUCCCGGUGUAGUGGUGAAAUGCGUAGAUAUCGGGAGGAACACCAGUGGCGAAGGCGGCUUCCUGGCCUGUUCUUGACGCUGAGGCGCGAAAGCUAGGGGAGCAAACGGG